UUUAGGCCACGACUCAGCAGUCCGCAGGCUGUCCGACACCGGACAGGGAAGCUGAAGGGGUGUCCACUGCAGAUCCGCCCUGCCCACUGGAUGAUGGACUCAAGCCACCGAGGAACAGAGCCCCCAAGGGAGUGCUCCAUCCCCGCCCCGGCCCCGGCAGAGGAGCUGCUCAGGACAGAUGUGACAGGAACCGGAGAGAACUACGGACACCACGGGGAUCGGCGUCCCAGCAACUCUUCAUGAUGUCGUACCUGUACGCAGCGAGGGGUAAGGGUGUGCCAGGCAGCGGUCUAAGAACCGAACCCAGUAGAACCCGCCCGCCUCACAGCCCCUGAUGUGGUGCUCGGGGACAGAUGGCAACAAGGAGAAUCCGGAUCGGGGGACUGGGCCCAGGGAAGGAGAGCGACUGCCUCGAGGGAUUCUGAGAGGGAUCCGCCGCCUCCCACCCUUACAUUUCCACCGGCGCCCAUUCGGGACUCAGCAUCCGGUAGCCUUCCUUGAUCAUGCGGUAGAACUUGGAAUCCACAGGCAUUCCUGGGUAGGGGCUGCUUCCUGCGGGACACAGACGGCACCCGCGGGCCUCUCAAGAUCGGGCCCGGACGUGGAGGGAGGCCCCCCACCCACCCACGCUCCUUCCAGCCAUACCGAGAGAGAAAAGCUCCCAGAGCAGGAUGCCAUAGGACCAGACGUCGCUCUCGAACGUGUACACGCAGCCAAAGAUGCUCUCGGGAGCCAUCCAUUUGACCGGGAGCCGGGCCUGGCGGGAAGACUGAGUGUGGGUAAAGUUCGCCCAGAGCCGGGCCAGACACAAAGACUCUCACAACCCCAUGCUGUGGGGGACCACCAUGCUCCAUCACCUGCUCCUUCCGAGUCCCCUCGGGACCCUCUAAGUUGAAGCAGAGGGGAGGGGGCAGUAGCUGGCCCUGGCCCACAGAUCAAUUCUUCUUAAUGGCAACCAGACCGAACAGAGGGCGGGAGGAGAGCAGGAAAGGGACCAAUGCUGUCAAAGGCCAGCAAGCCCAGGCUAGAAGGCCAGCUUCAUUUAGACAUUUAGCAGGCACUUAUUGUUGACAAGUCCUGGACUGAGCACUUGGGGCCCGAUCAGAGAGAUUCCCUUAUCCCAUCCCAAGGGGGUAUCGGUAGGUAUUUGGAUGCAGAUCUCGGUGCCCAGCAGCUCACUUUAAAGGGAAGGGGACGGGGUGCGGGAGGUAAAGACCUGGGUCCAAAUACCAGCUCUGCCACAGAUCAACACAUCUCCCGACUCCUCCAACAUCUCCCGGGAAGGCGGGGACCUCCACAUCGUCUCUGUCCCUUCACUUAUCAACUCUCUCCUUCCACUGCACCCCAGCUCACGCUCCCCGCUCCUCCCUGUUAGUUACCUCUCGUGCAGUCGACCCCUCUUGGACUGAGCUCUCCCUCCCGCCAGGGACUCCCUCCCCCUUCACAUCCACCAGACCACGGCUCUGCCUGUCUUCACGGCCCAGCUGAGAUCCCAUCUCCUGGGGUCCAGGAAGCCUUCCCUGAUUGAUUUCUAAUCAUCCUUGCAUCCACCCCAGCGACUGCUACUUCCGGUAGAGGAGCUGGGGAAAGCAGCUAAGCACUUGUCUACUUUGGUGGUUCAGCUGACGGUGAGUACUUGUCUUACAUGCCCUAUUAAACAAACACCAACUCAUGACCAUACCCAUU